UAUAAAGUGCCCGAAAUUUAAGGAUUAUUUUGAUAGAAUAAACUAUGUGGAUUACCACCUUUAUAU
rnacentral:tRNA from 1 species